rnacentral:lncRNA from 1 species
CUUUUAAACUGUGAUUUUUUUUUUUUUGGUUGUUGUUGAAGAAUUAAAUCAAAAGCCCUUUGUUUAAGUAGAUAGAUAAUUUAAAUAUAUUAGUUUUAUGUACAUGUGAGAGAGCAAUCAUUCAGACUCUUACUGUAGGAUUCUGAUUUUAUUUUUAUUUACUUGGAUGCUCUGGUAUAAUGUCUUAAGAAUUUACAUUUUGGCAUACCUCAGUGAAUCCUGUUUCUAGCCAUAAAGUCCUUUUUUAUGGUGCUUUACCAUUAUAACUACAGUGAAGUUAACAAGACUGCAAAAGAAAAAAAGAAGGCUUUUGAGGUUUUGAGGUGCUAAGGUCUUGCUUCCAACAGAAAGCAACUUAGACUGACAAGAGGCCAAAGUGGUAAUGUCUCCUUCAGCAGGUUGCUUUUGCUCCCAGGGACUCCCACACAUAGACACUGCCUUAUCAUAAAGUAACUACUGCUCUGUGACACAGCCAAGGUCAAGUGGAGACAGCUGACGUCUGCGCUGCCUUGCCUGUGCAGGAGCAGUAUUUGAGAAAGAAACCCCAGGUCAUUGUUGCUACAAGUUUCAGAGUCUUUACAAUGAAGCUUCUUUGAAUUUAAGAUUCAAACGACCCUUUCAGAAAGACCACAGGUUCUGGCUCAGAUCUAUGAGUCGUGCUUAUUACACUGGCUGCCAUGUCUCUGUCAGGGGUAUCACCUCUAAUUUGAGACCAUAGUAAGUUCCCAGCCAGCCAGAACUACAAAGUAACACCCCUGUCUCAAAAAAAAAACCAAAACAAAAAGAAAAAAAAAAACAUGAUUGAGAAAAAUAUCCUGCAAAAAUGUCUUUUCUGGAGGUUUAAAAAUAAUGUCCUUGGAUUCUUGGUGUUUAUUUGGGAAACAGUGUUCUUCAGCUCUGUUGAACUAUUGAGCCAGUCCUAGGGCACGCUGGGUAGCAAAUGCACUUGUCCCAUGACAAAUGGGACAAACUGGAAAGAGAACUCUUUGUUGUCAAGGUGAAGUCAGAAAUGUCUUGCAAGUCAGGAUCGUUCUAGACUGAGCUAAUCCAUCUAGAAGAAGACAGUGCUGUAGCUAUCGAUGCCACAUCCGCAGGACCAUUUGGUGACAUUUAAUUUUUGCAGUGCCCCGUAUUUCUGUUUGCUGAUCAUCCUGGAGAUGGUUUUUCUUUGCAGAAAGUGCUUGUUUGGUUGCUUCCAUGACAACCCGAUAAGCAGUCUCUUAGCCUCUGAGGCCUGUGCUUACGUUACGGACCUGAGUGAUGAGAGUUUAUGAGCUUGCAAGGGAGCUAUGCUCUUCUUUCAGCCUGGCAAACUUAAGUCUACCUCAUUUUCAGAUCACAAUGUGCGGUUCCUAUAGGUAGAAAGAGAAGAUGUUUGACAUCAGUGUUUCACAACCUCAUUAUAUCACUAGAAAAAAAACAAGAGAUUAUAAAUAUCACAACCAUAUUGCUAAAAAUAGUUUUAAGCAGCCACAUCUACAUAUUUCUGAGUAUUUCGAGUGGUACAGAUUUCUAUGUGUUUAUAUAAUAAAGUAUAUUUAUUUUUUCAUGUUAUUUAAUUUCAUAAGCAAUGUUCAAAAACUAGCAUGUGUAAGCUGACUAUGGAGGCAAUAGGCUACAUGAAUUAGAAAUGAAUGUAUGUUUCUUUUGAUUAAAAAUAUACAUAUAUAUAUAUAUAUAUAUAUAUAUAUAUAUAUAUAUAUUAAUUUUGUAAACUCUGUCUUGUUGCCCACUCCUAAAUUCUGAGCAGCCGUGUAUUAAACUUCGUGUCGUUGACUAGGCUAAAGUGUGCAUUUUGAAAGGUUACUUUAAAAGAAUUCCGAAUCAGAAGUGAUGAUGAGUUUGAUAAACAAAAAUUUGUGAGGCCUAACAUUGUGUUCGGUAGCUCUCUCUUUUCUAACAAUGUUGUCUUUAUUUAUUGAGUUACAACUAUGAAAUUGGAAUGCUCUGUUUACUGAAUUUGAAAAUAAUGGUAUAACAUACCCAGAAGACC